rnacentral:lncRNA from 10 species
CCUCCGGGUUCCUGGUCCCCAGCCUGUGGGGGGCUUGGGCUGUAGCGCUGGGGCGGGGGCUUUAGAUCACCCCGAAAACAGGACCUCUGGCGACCUUCUCGUUUUCCACCGGGAGCGGAGAGAGCCGAUCUCCUUUUCCUGCUAGCCCCGUAGGACAGUCCCCGGAGCAGCUCAUAGGAAUAUGACGAACGUUUACUCAGGGCUGGUUACUAUGUACACUGCGCCCCGCGCGCGGCGAGUUUACCUCGGUUCACCUCCCGGCAACCGGCGGCCCGGAUAUUAUCAGAUGCUGUGGGCUUCCCGGCGCCUCAUUGCCCGAGGAGAGGCGGCCGCAGGUAGCUGAGCUGGAGCUAGCACAAGUUGAAUUCACCAAAUAGAAGACAUUGGAAAUGAGACCCGAGGGUUGGAGGAGGAGGAAGUUGCUGAUGGGAAGGCAGAAAAGUACAAUGGAAAGAGUAUGGGCUCCAGGAAGUCAGCGCUACCACUGACUGGCUGUGUGAUUUUUGGCCUGCAAUGUGAACACGAUGGCUGGAGCUCCGGCAGCCAUUCUGGACCAGGAGGUAGCCUUGAAGAUGGAAGCCACAUGUUGGGAUGGUGAAUCCAAAAGAUGAGGAGCCUGUAUC